GAACCAGAUUCUGCUACAGGUUUCUACCUUUGAAGGAGUAGCUCUCCUCUCUACUGUUGAUACAUGCAUGCUUAGUAUGAGCGAUUUCUGCAAAAUGAACAUUAACAAGCUAACCUGCACAGGAAGUCAACUUUGGACCAAGCAUCUGGACUAGAGCGGAGUUCGCCCCGCCAACGUUGACAGAUGAAACAAAUUCAUGAUGUCCUAUAGAAGUAUAAGGGAUGUUGUCUUCUAACGGACUGUCAGGCCACUCUGGAGGAGGAAGGUUCACACAGUCUGGUAAUAUAGGAGGAAAGUCUUCAGUGCCUCUCCUGAAGGAAGUAGUCUCCUGAUGAUGGUUCGCCUCAUUGUCCUGACUGAAAGAUAGUGCUUCCUGCUGCUCCUCCAGCAUGGCCGAGCAGGAAACCGUGCCAUAGGAGUUGAACACCACACACUUGAACAGGCCGGAGUCUUCAGGGAAAGCCUCAGUGAUCACCAGCGUACACAGCUCCUCUGCAGAGAAGAAAACAAUAUUAUUCACAAUAAUAACAUGUAAAUGGAUAUAUUUGUUCUAAUCUUCCACUGUAUUUGAAGUUCAGCAUUUUGUGUGUCUUUAUCAAAUUAGUUUUUAUUAGACCUUGUUUUCAAAGAAGAAAACAACUUGAAUUAAAUAAAAUUAAACCUUAUAUGAAAAAAGAGAAAGAUGUAUAAACUCAUGUGCCAGAUUUAUGUGUA